rnacentral:sRNA from 16 species
GGCGGCGUCUACCUCAGCCCGCUGUUCGUCUAUGCCCUGCUGGCGCUGGCGGCCACCGCCGCGCUGCGGGUGCUGAUCCAGAAAACGCCGUUGCGUCGCUGGGUCUGGCACGAGGCGCUGUUCGACUGCGCCCUG